UCCUGGACGACAUCCUGAUAUUUUCAGAAUCAGAGGAGACCCACGAGGGAGACGUCAAGGAAGUUCUGCAGAGACUGCAGGAGCACAGGCUGUACGCCAAGCUGGAGAAGUGCCAGUUCGACAUGAAGGAGGUAGAUUUCCUGGGCUACAAGUUGUCGGACAAGGGGCUCGCCAUGGACAGCGCCAAGGUUCGCUCAGUGUUGGACUGGAAGAGCCCGCGCAAUCGGAAGGAGGUCCAGCGGUUUGUCGGUUUCGCCAACUUUUACCGCAAGUUCAUCAAGGGGUUCGCGAUGCAGACGGCGGCCAUUACCGACACGCUCAGCUCCAAGAAGAAGAAGUUCAUCUGGACGGAGCAAGCGGAGCAGUCCUUUCAGAAACUCAAGCGUCUCUUCUCGUCCGAAGAGCAGCUACUGCAUGUGAAUCCCAGCAGACCGAUGAGGGUUGAAACGGACGCCUCAGACAGAGCCGUGGGAGCAGUACUGUUGCAGCAAGACCCGCAUGGGGACUGGAGACCGUGUGCCUUCUACUCCAGGAAGCUCAGCAAGUCAGAGCAGAACUACACCAUCUGGGACAGGGAGUUGCUGGCCAUUCAUGCAGCAUUCAAGGCGUGGCGGCACUUCCUCAUUGGAGCCAAACACACAGUGCAGGUCCGCACGGACCAUAAAAACCUGGAGUACUGGCGCACGGCAAGGUUCCUGAACCAGAGGCACAUACGAUGGGCGGAGUUCUUUGCGGAUUUCGACUUCAGGAUAGAGUACAUCCCAGGCGACAACAACAUCAUGGCGGAUGCACUGUCCAGAAAGCCGCAAUACCUCGAGGAGGCGGCACCAGCAGCGGCCAAGCACAUUUUCGCACCGAAAGCGUGGGCGUGCGCUUCAGCAACCGUGGACCUGGAUGCUGUACGUCGAGCACUGCAGGAGGACCCCUUCGCGCAAGCAAAGAUGGCAGAGGUGCAAAGGGGCACGGCGGAGGACGACGAGUUCCAGAUACGCGACGGAUUGCUCAUCCGCAGAGGGGCCCUCUACGUACCGGGAGACGACCUCCGCGCGAAAGUACUGCAGCAGUUGCACGACGCACCCACCGCCGGGCACUUUGGCAAAGAGAAGACGGUAGAAUUAGUAGCCAGAGAUUUUUGGUGGCCCAAGAUGCGGGGGAAGUCGCGGAUUACGUCUCGAGGUGCGACACCUGCCAAAGGGCCAAGUCAGUGCACAAACCGCCGGCGGGACUGCUCGAACCGCUGCAGACACCGCUCGAACCGUGGGAGAGGGUGGCCCUGGACUUUGUCACGGAUCUACCCAGCUCGAGGGGCAAGACGGCAGUGCUAGUGGUGGUGGACAUGUUCACCAAAAUGGCCCACUUCAUUCCGUGCGCGAAGGUGGCCACGGCGGAACAGACCGCCAAACUGUUCAUAGACCACGUGUUCAGGGUUCACGGUCUGCCACGGUCUAUCCUGUCCGACCGGGGCGACAGUUCAUCUCGAACUUCUGGCAGAAGCUGAUGGGUUUCCUGAACGUCAAGAUCAACCUAGCGUCGGCGAGACACCCGCAGACGAACGGACAAGCGGAGCGAGUCAACGCCAUCAUGCAGCAGUACCUGCGAUGCUACGCAAAUCAGCAGCCGGCAACAUGGGUGGACUACCUGCCGCUCGCUGAGUUCGCCUACAACAACACGAAGCACGUGUCCACGGGGGUGACACCGUUCUUCGCCAACAACGGGAGGCAUCCCAGAACCUUCCCGGGAUUAGCGAGAGCGGGGGAGGGGGAGCCACAGGCAGCGGAAGCCUUAGCAUCAGAGUUGCAGGAGGUUCACGAACAGCUUCGGAGGCAGUUAGAACUAGCAAAGCACGCAUACAAACUGCAGGCUGACAAGCACAGAAGGGUUGGGGAAGACAUACAGGUGGGAGACUGGGUUUGGUUAGCAGCCCAGGCAGUGCCGGCCAGAUCGUUAGCGAAGAAGAAGCUAGGGCAUAAGCAGCUAGGACCCUACCAAGUCGAGGCACAGGUCAAUCCAGUGGCCUUCCGGUUGACACUGCCGGAGGGAUCCAGAAUGCACCCAGUUUUCCAUAGAUCAGUGCUCACGCCCUACAAAGCACCUCAUAGAUUUCAGGAGCCAGGAACGGCACCAGACCCGUUCAGGGAAACGCCCACAAGGGGGUCGCCAAGGCGGGAACCCGUCAACGAAGUCACAGAGAUUUUAGACUCGAGAUGGGGGGAAGAGGGAGUAGAAUAUCUUCUCGCCAGAGAAGGUACCCCGGCCAGCGCCAACAGUUGGGUGCCAGACCAUGCCUUGGACGAACCUUUUCUCAAGGACGAGUUUCAUGCCCUUUUCCCACACAGGCCCAUGCCAGCCGAGUAUUUCGACGACUGGCUUUUCACACCCACAUUUUCAGCUAGCACAUUCCAGGGGUUCACCUCGGACGAGGAACCGGCACUAGAAACACGUUCCCCGGAGGGAUCACCCUCGGGGUCUGCCUCAGACCGUUCCUAUUGGUGGGACAAUCAACCAGAGGAGCAGUGGCGCAGGAAGUGGCUGGGGGGUCCUUGGCAGGCAACGUCCCCGGAGGAGACCGGGGGAGAGACGGACAUGGACGUGUUGGGGGGAGGACCUUGGGUUCGAGCACGGCGGCAAAGAGAUGGAAGCAGAGGAAAUUGAGGUCGGCGAGAGCACGGAGGACGAGCCGGACUUAUCCGGCUGGAUGCACGCCACGGGGGACGAACUGUAUCCGGCACUCACCCCCACAACGACGGAGCACCCAGUACCCACACCUGAAGGAGGGGAGGGUGGAAGGGGGGCUUCGAGGGGGAUGGAUGUCAGGGGUUCAGGAGCAGAGGCACAGGAAAGGGAGGAAAUAGAGAGCGAGGGGGAGGAGUCCGAAGGAAAUGUUAGCGAUGACAGCGGUCCGAGGUCUCUGAGUCUUUCCAGCGAAUCGGAAGAUUCACAGAAAGGGGCUCCCUUGGUCAGAGCAAGGGGGUGCCGAGGGGGACACCCCAGGAAGAAGGGGCCAGAGGGGACUCAGAGAGCAGCAGUUGGAAAUCAGGACCAGCGUCCACACCAGAGUGCAGUAGGGGGGAGGGGUCCCAGGCAUCGGGAUCAGGCGGCGCACUGCCAGUGGGAGGACAUGAGUCAGGAUUGGCCACGCCUCCAUCGGGGAGCGAGGAAACGGUCGAGAGGAAGGUUGAAGGCUGGGCGCGCGCGCCAAGUUCAAAUGUACAGGAGGGCGGCGCAGUUGGCAGCCCGGAUAGGGAGCCAGGUCCCAAAGCCCGCCGAAAAGAGGGGAGGAGUCAGGGGGUCAGCGCCAGAAGAAUCCAGGAAGGAAGGGACCCCGGGGGGUAGCAGGACCCAGAGGAGAAAGGAGAGACGUAAGAGGUGGAGUAAGGCUAGAAUCUUAAACUGGUGUACAGGGGGCGGAGACUCAGAUGGAGCUUCGCCGAUCUAACCCCUAGACGUAGAGCUGGGGCGCUGCGGCUUGAAAAUGGAAACUGUACUUCAAUAAAGACUUUUGUACAUU